UUGGAAGGUGCCGGAAGGAAGAAAAGCGAGCGCGUCGGUAUCGUCUUUUCGUGCUACUGUCAAGUGGGGCCACGAGGGGAGGUGCGAUGGUGGUAGAUCCCUUCGUAAUCCGCAACAGCAGGUGGGGCCGGAAACGUACCUGGCCCACCAGCCAGCCUAAGAAUGUCCGAUGGCAACAGCGCUACCGCCGGCCGGCGACGGCGGACGAAGCGUCUCAGCGCGGAGAAAGGGGGCGAGCAGCCUAGAGAGAGGGAGAGAGAUACGCGGGAAGUAGGCGGUGCGGCGGGGAGACGCCGUCAUAUGGAACGGCCCGCCGCCGCCGGUUGUUUCCGCCGCACCAGCAAGGGCUACACGAUCCAGGUAUUUUUGGGGGGUGCCUGAUUCCUUCCUUUCCCGUCUGUGUGAUGCUCUUGUAGAUUUUGCAGCAGCCUGCCAGCUCCAUGCAUUCGUGCUUGGCUUGCUCGCGCAUCUCUGUUUGGGUAGUUGAGUAAUCUCGCAAAUUCUUUCCACCAUUGGUGGAUUGUGCAAAAUAUUUUGGCUUAUGGUGCUUAGGUGGUUUUUCUUUUUGAGGGUUAUAUAUAGGUGGUAUUCUUAUUGCUUACGGACAAUAUUAGCUGCUAAAGAAGUAAAUGACGUUGUUGAUUCAACAUACACUUGAACACAUUUUGAGCGAAACAAUGCAGCAGUUAACAGCAGAAUCUGAAAUGGUAGGCGCCGUAGAGCGAAGUUGAUUGGUGCCUGUGUUUUUUUUUUCUUUUUUUGACAGCAACCUUGUAGAUUUCCUCUGGUUUGUGGAUCUUUGGCACCGGGAACACUUGCACAUUUUGCCAAACCGCAUGAUCCUGCUGCCUUCGAUCCAAAACACGAUUUGAGAAUAUAGUACUUCUUAAGAUUUUCUGUAGCUUAUUGUUAGACCAUCCGCGUCACAUUUAUGCUUAAUCUGAAGCCAAAGGAGAGGUGUGGUUUGGCAGUUAUUACUUAAUGGGAAGCAUUUACAGCCAAUUUGCUCUUGAGCAAACCUCAGACAAAUUCUAACAAUAAAAAACCUUGUGUGCACUAACAGUUGUGGAUCUUACUCUUUAUGAAUUUUAGGGCACAUACUGUCGUCCUAUCUGUAUAGUAGGAUUAUACUGUCGUCCUAUCUGUAUAAUAGGAUUAUACUGCCGUCCUCUGUAUAAUAGGGCUAUCCAGCAUUGGUGGAUUGUGGGAAAUGUCGGACUUAUGGUGCUUAGGUGGUAUUUUUAUUGCUACAGACAAUUAGAGCUCCUGAGAAGUAGAGGAUGUUGUUGAUUCAACGUGCACUUGAACACCCUCUAACAGCGGAAUCUGAAAAGGUAAGCGCCCUAGGUAAAAGUGGACUUGUCUGCUUUUUUUAUGGGUAAACUGGAUGUAUCUGAUACUCUUGUCAGUUGUCGCAUAAAUGCUGUGCAGGUUUGAAUACUUGGAGCACUCAUCUAGUUUUUUGAGCAUUUACAGCCAAUUUGCUCUUUAGCAAACCUCAGACAAAUUCUAACAAGAAAAAAUCGUAUUCAGUGUGCCCUAACAAAUGUGAACCUCACUCCUUAGGAAUGAAGGGCACAUACUGUCGUCCUGUCUGUAUCCGUAAAUUAUGCCAUUUCCAGAUUCUUACUUCAUACUUCAUGGUACGACCACCUAAGAAUCAAAGGGUUGGCUCUUGUUUUCUUUUAUUUACAAGCCUCUAAUGAAAUUUUAGAAUGUUCCCAAAAGGUGUACUUAAAUUAAGAGUUGUGAGUGGAUGUACUUAGAAUUCUCAGGCUUCAAAUUGCAUCCCAGAGGUCCGCAUCUUAGAUGCAAAAUAAUAAGUUAAGAAAAUUGUUCAUGGAAUUAUCCUGGAGACUAGUGGAGUCGACCUGGAGCCAACCUCGGCAAAACUUAAUUAUGUCCGUUGCAUCCGAUGAUGCUUAUUUGAACCCAUAUAUGAUCCAUCAGAUCACUCUGACUUGCUUGCGUACGUCUUGAGUUCUUGGAACGCUUUCCGGCAACCUUCAUCAAAGCCACCCGCGAGCUGCAAAUUUGGUUUGUUGCAGUUACCUUGGUUAGUUAGUUUGUAGGUAGCAACUCAUAAUGCCAUCCAAAAGUAAUUCAUGAUUGUGGUAGAAUUACCUGAUGUAUUCGGAAGGCAAAGCGGACACCUUGCAGGAGCAGUUCCUCAUCAUUUACAAAUGGAUCUGACUUCAGUGCAUUCAUAAUGCGGUUCAUGUAUUCUUUUGCAAGCUUCAAUGAAGCGGCCUUUAGCUGUUAAGGCAGCAAGAGGAUACUUCAUAUAUUAUAUGUCUAUUAGACAUGAAUUUAUAGCUAAAAGGGUAGUGAGAUUAUUCCAAUUUGUACCACAUAACUCAUAAGUUGGUUUGGAGUUGAAGACGAGUUUGUAAAAUGCACUUAACUAUCUCUUCUCUACUAUAUCAAACUGAUGAAAAAGAUGGAUAUUAGAAGUUUGGGAGUACAUGGUACAUACUUGGCUUAUGAUUCCAGAAUCAAGCAUCCAAUCCCAUGGGAUCAUGAGAUCCUUGUAUCUUCCACUUGCACUGUCCCUUAUUUUUUCAGUAUUGUGAAUACCUUGUUCAAUUCUACAAGGGGAAGUAUGAAUCAUGUCAUAUUGUUGAAAGUUUGACAAUGCAACAGCCUUACUAAAUGCAUGCAGUUCGUCUACUCACUUAUCCUGUAGAGCUUGCAUGCGCUUCAAAGCCAUAGGUGUAGCCACUCUCCUGUCGUCGUGAAAUGAUGAUGCUUCUGCUUCCAGGUUCUUCAGAUCCCGGUAGGUGAAUGCUGCUUCUCUCAUGGCAUCUGCUUUCUUCUCAGGCCAGUUAGGGAAGUGCUUGAGCACUGCCCGUUCGUCUAUCAGGUAUGAUAGUUCCCCAUCUAGCCACUUCACAAACUCUUCAACAUCGGCUAUUUCCUUGUAUGCUGCAUUCUGAACUUCCCUUGCCAGGAAGCUAAUGAAUUCACCCUGAUUUUCUACAUCUGAUUUAAUCUGUUGGAACACAAUCAUAAGGGAAUUUUUUUGGAUUGGUGAGGGAAUUAUUGAUCUGUACAGAAUAAUAGGGAGAAAACAUGGCUCGGAUGUACAUUAAAAGAUUAUUCGUACUAUAAAAAAAAAGAGUUAUAUAACAUUAUCAACUGCAGGAGGGAAACAGAAAAAUCAGAAGAACAUGUCGCAUGCUCUUAAACUAACACAUGGCAUUGCUUUUUGAUGCAUAAAGAAAAGAUAUACUAUAUUGUGGUGUAUUCGUAAGGUUUUAAAGAUGAGUGGAAAAUUUACACAAUAAAAAGUUACUAUUUAUGAAAUGGGAGAGAUGUUUAAAGAAUAGUCUAUCUGUUGAGAUAUUGUCUUUAAUACAACAACGAACUGGUAACUGUCAUGCGGGAGGAAAUAUUGUGCAAUUGACAUAGUACUCAUACUCUUGUUGCUUAUGUUGGUUCAAAAAGAAAAGAAAAAUUGAACUAAGAAAGGAAUUGGCAGCUAAGUAAACUAUAUAUCAUAUGCACAUCUAAAAUUAGAUAGAAAAUCAUAUGUACUUACAGCUAUAACAUAAGCUGAUCUGUUCUCUAUCUCCCCGAUCAUGUCUCGGCUGUUAGUAGCUACUGGAAUUCCCACAGAUCCAGACUUCGCAUCGCUUUUGCCUUCUCUUCUUACUAACAACCGGUACAACUCAACUACCUCUGGCACCCUUUGGACUCCCUUGGUGCUCUUCAGUAAUUUGGAAGGUAGGGGAGGUGGCGGUGGAGGAGGAGGACCCAUGGAUCCUUCCUUUUUUGCCUUGAUGAUCGGUUGGAUGCACGUCGGACUUGGUGGUGGAUUUGGAACCCUUGGUGCUCUUGAUUUCACUGACGGUGUCCUAGAAAAUUGCUGCCUGUUGUAACAUGCCGAGCUGUUGAGAUCCAUGGCUUCCUUCACAUCAUCAUUGUUGUGAACAAACUGUUUUUCCUUGAAGUAGUUGUUGCUGGUGGCAGAAUUCUCCGGCUUCUUCCAGAUUAUCUUUCUAUCAGUAUCCUGCCCUUCAAGUGAGGAGACUUGGCCUUUUAGACGGCUGACUUGAUGCUUCAGUUGCUUGUUCUCCUCUUCCAGAGUGUGGUUCCUCUCGAUCAGGCCAUGGAGCUUGCUUCUCAGAAGUGCAACACAUGCAUCACCCUCCCUCAUCAUCUCUUCUUUGCCAGAGGAGAUGAUCUCUCUGUAUGGUUGUACUGAUUCCUCACGUAUAAUCUAUAUUUGUCUCCUACUUCAUCACUCAUAUAAUUCUGUGGAGCACUAAAGGAGAUGUAAGUGAGCUUCUGUACAAUUCUGUUGUGUCUAGCCAAGAGGAACUUACAUAUGUGCAGGGAAGAACUGGUGGAACAUAAAGUUAGGUAGGAUAGGUGCUGCUGCUAGGCUAAUUACUUGUCCUUCAAGUGAUUGCUAUGCAGUACCUAUCUUCUUUGUGUAACUUCACUCAAGAAAUUCAGUCGUACAAGCUUACGUGUUUCUCUUUUCCUUUUGUGUACGACUAUUUUCCAAUUCUAUCACACAUAAUUUACCGCCGUCUAUGUUCAGUUCACUUGGCUGGUAUAUUUUUUAGAUUUACCUUGAGCUGUCGGUGUGCUAUUUUACACCAACCAAGAGGUAAAGGUUUUUUAUCAUUCUUCUUUCUCUGAAAAAUAUGUCAUUUUCCUUCAUGCUUGGUUUCUUCUGAUUGCGCUUUUGUCCUUUUUGUGAAGUUGUGACAGCAAAAGCCUGAAUACAAGCUUUCUUCUGCCUCAAGCUGUGUAAAAGGAACUCAGAUGGAACUCCUUUACCAGCCCUGGACACCUUUGGCUAAUAAGACCAAGUGAAUAUUUUGAAAAGUAGAGGGACAAGAAGAAACAAAAUAAAGCCAAGCAAAAGAAGGGGAAAAGCAGAUCUGAAUGUGUUUAUCUUUCAAAAUACACAGGUAUUGUUACUCUCCUUGGAACUGUAGCUCCUACUGUAACAAUCCUAUUCCUCACCCAUGUGUUUUGAUUGCUGAAGGUUUCUGGUGAAGCCUUUCCUACCUGUAUCUGAACAGCAUUGGGCAUCUGUUUAUGCCACCAAAUAUAGGCGGUAGCAGAACCCCAAAAACGACAUAUCAGUAGGUUUAGAAAAAGGAGUCCCUACAAAGAAAGAUUCUGGCAAUGUUAUAAAGAAAAUGUAGAAAUAAACUGUUACAGGAUGACAGCAGAUUAAGCUGGCAUCAAAGGUUACUCUGUGUACUCUGAGAUACAGGUACCAUUGUAAAGUCCCUGAUCCGUAGGGAACUGAGGCCAUGUUUAAGGAGUUCAUUGAUUUCGCUGCGUCAGUUUCCAUGCUCGGAUUGGGUGCGAUUUGUGUAGAAUGCGAUCUCAGUACCUGGUUGGUGGAAGUACUGCAUACAUAUAUGCAGUGCGGUGCAUCAACUGCGAGAGAUGCUUUGCAUGGACCCCCUGUGACUCGUUACGCCUAAUGAUGUACCAACAAUUGCACUCAUAAAUGUAAGGAGUGUCUGGGACUGAGUAGUGAUUAUUUUCAAUUAUUCAUACUGUAUAAGCUACAGAAGGUGGACGACAAACUUGGCAAAUAUGGAGAUCAUAUAUGCCGGAUAAUCCCCAGGUAAGCUGUGCUAAUGUGCAAUGCCAACCUAAAAGGCAUUGAUACUUAAUGAUUCACAUAC
rnacentral:lncRNA from 1 species